GCCUGGGUGGCUCAGUCGGUUGAGCGUCUGACUUUGGCUCAGGUCACGAUCUCGCGGUCCGUGGGUUCGAGCCCCACGUCGGGCU
rnacentral:tRNA from 2 species